UACGUAGGUGGCAAGCGUUGUCCGAUUUACUGGGCGUAAAGAGCGCGCAGGCGGUCGUUCAAGUCGCGUGUGAAAGCCCCCGGCUCAACUGGGGAGGGUCACGCGAUACUGAUCGACUCGAAGGCAGGAGAGGGAAGUGGAAUUCCCGGUGUAGUGGUGAAAUGCGUAGAUAUCGGGAGGAACACCAGUGGCGAAGGCGACUUCCUGGCCUGUUCUUGACGCUGAGGCGCGAAAGCUAGGGGAGCAAACGGG
rnacentral:rRNA from 1 species